CAACCACGGGGAAGCCUUGGUAGCAAAAGCCACUCUGCUUCGCUCUCCGAUGCAAUUCUGGUGAAGUAAUUUUUUUCUUUCCGUUUCCCUGUCAUUAAUACAUUUCUCUGAUAUUGAAACGUACCCGCCUUCGAUUGAUUUGACCAUAUAUCAUCGCUUCCCCCAGAUAUUCUUCUCCAAAUCUUCCUAGCCUUUUAAAGCCACCAUAGGGGUCCUUCAAGCAUCUGAUCGGAUGGCUGGUAUGGUGGUGGCAAUUGCUCCCAACACAUUUGACAUCACAUUUUUAGCAUUGCUGACUCUGCCGAUGAGAAAUGCAGCAACUUGAUUUUUUAUAUUUAAGAUGUGGCGGCUAGAGGUGGAACUUUUUUUAAGGCCUGCUGAUGAUUUGCGUUUAACUCUAUUGAAACCACGUUAAAUCGUAACCCCGCAUACCAAAAAGCCACCGUUGGUUUUG
rnacentral:sRNA from 1 species